GGAGGGGUGCCGGAGUGGUCGAACGGGGUGGUCUCGAAAACCAUUGUAGGCAUUGUCUACCGGGGGUUCGAAUCCCUCCCCCUCCGCCA
rnacentral:tRNA from 1 species